rnacentral:rRNA from 1 species
UUGGAGGGCAAGUCUGGUGCCAGCAGCCGCGGUAAUUCCAGCUCCAAUAGCGUAUAUUAAAGUUGUUGCAGUUAAAAAGCUCGUAGUUGAAUUUCGGGGUUAGCAGGUUGGUCGUGCCACUGGUAUGAACUGGCCUUGCUGAUUCCUCCCUCUUGAUGAGCCGUAAUGCCAUUAAUUUGGUGUUGCGAGGAAUCAGGACUGUUACUUUGAAAAAAUUAGAGUGUUUAAAGCAGGCAAGCGCUUGAAUACAUUAGCAUGGAAUAAUGAAAUAGGACGUUUGAUCUUAUUUUGUUGGUUUCUAAGAUUGACGUAAUGAUUAAUAGGGAUAGUUGGGGGCAUUAGUAUUCAAUUGUCAGAGGUGAAAUUCUUGGAUUUAUUGAAGACUAACUACUGCGAAAGCAUUUGCCAAGGAUGUUUUCAUUAAUCAAGAACGAAAGUUAGGGGAUCGAAGACGAUCAGAUACCGUCGUAGUCUUAACCAUAAACUAUGCCGACUAGGGAUCGGAUGAUGUUAAUUUUUUAAUGACUCAUUCGGCGCCUUACGGGAAACA